rnacentral:rRNA from 1 species
CCUACGGGAGGCAGCAGUAGGGAAUAUUGCACAAUGGGGGAAACCCUGAUGCAGCGACGCCGCGUGAGUGAAGAAGUAAUUCGUUAUGUAAAGCUCUAUCAGCAGGGAAGAAAAUGACGGUACCUGAGUAAGAAGCCCCGGCUAACUACGUGCCAGCAGCCGCGGUAAUACGUAGGGGGCAAGCGUUAUCCGGAUUUACUGGGUGUAAAGGGAGCGUAGACGGCAGUGCAAGUCUGGAGUGAAAGGCGGGGGCUCAACCCCUGAACUGCUUUGGAAACUGCCAUGCUAGAGUGCUGGAGAGGUAA